UACAGAGGUCCCAAGCGUUGUUCGGAUUCACUGGGCGUAAAGGGUGCGUAGGUGGUGAGGUAAGUUUGAGGUGAAAGCUCCGGGCCUAACCCGGAAAUUGCCUUGAAUACUAUCUCGCUAGAGGAUCGGAGGGGAGACUGGAAUUCUCGGUGUAGCAGUGAAAUGCGUAGAUAUCGAGAGGAACACCAGUGGCGAAGGCGAGUCUCUGGACGAUACCUGACACUGAGGCACGAAAGCCAGGGGAGCAAACGGG
rnacentral:rRNA from 1 species